rnacentral:rRNA from 10 species
ACGGGUGAGUAACACGUGGGCAAUCUGCCCUUCACUCUGGGACAAGCCCUGGAAACGGGGUCUAAUACCGGAUAGCACUUCCACUCGCAUGGGUGGGGGUUGAAAGCUCCGGCGGUGAAGGAUGAGCCCGCGGCCUAUCAGCUUGUUGGUGAGGUAAUGGCUCACCAAGGCGACGACGGGUAGCCGGCCUGAGAGGGCGACCGGCCACACUGGGACUGAGACACGGCCCAGACUCCUACGGGAGGCAGCAGUGGGGAAUAUUGCACAAUGGGCGAAAGCCUGAUGCAGCGACGCCGCGUGAGGGAUGACGGCCUUCGGGUUGUAAACCUCUUUCAGCAGGGAAGAAGCGAAAGUGACGGUACCUGCAGAAGAAGCGCCGGCUAACUACGUGCCAGCAGCCGCGGUAAUACGUAGGGCGCAAGCGUUGUCCGGAAUUAUUGGGCGUAAAGAGCUCGUAGGCGGUCUGUCGCGUCGGAUGUGAAAGCCCGGGGCUUAACCCCGGGUCUGCAUUCGAUACGGGCAGACUAGAGUGUGGUAGGGGAGAUCGGAAUUCCUGGUGUAGCGGUGAAAUGCGCAGA